UCCUUGACCAGGGAAGCCCUUUGCCUGA
rnacentral:piRNA from 1 species